CGAGGAGGAUGCAGGUCCUGCCCUUGGGAGCUUCCAGACCAACAGCAGAGAGAACCUGAAGUAACACAACUCCUCUGAGAGGCCCUGAGGGCUCUGCAGAUUUGUUCAAAGGAGUGAGAAAUCACCAUGGUCCUGAGAGGGGGAAGGCUUCCUGGAGGAGGUGGCAUUUGAGACAGGACUGGAGAGAAGCAGGAGGGUUUUCAGCUGUGAGGAGAGAUAAUAUAUGCAGAGGCCCAAGCUGAACCUAGGGAAAGAUCUAGGAGGGUAAUUCCGGCUGAAAAGCAGGAGAGAAGGCAAGUAGGAGGGAGGUUCCGGGCUCCGGGUUAAGGAAGGUUAUGUGGGCUUGAAGGUCCAGUGAGGAGUCGCUGUGUCACGGAAGGGCUGAGGAGAGAAGUGACUCCAACAGAACAGAGCUUUAGGAAUCCAGGAUGUCGGCUCUCUGCCAGAAAUCUUCGGACGCCACAGCCAGCCUGACCUUUACAGUCUAUGAAGCCUGAGGGCUUUACUUUGCAGGAGUAGAUGAGAGAUUAGAGAGGAUGCCUGACCUGAGAUCACACACCAAACAGCCCUGGCCAGUCCUGAAUGCAGAGCCCCUGCCUGCGAGCCCAAGGUGCCUGCAAACGGGCUCAGUUUGGUGACAAGGCUGCAGGGAGGGUUGAGAAUGGCAUGGAUGCAGUAGGCUGUGUGCAGUAGCCCUGCAAGUUCCAGAGCUGACUACUGGAAAUAAGACCGGGCCAUCUCGGCACCAAGGGCCAGGACCUGGCUUCUGGGUCAGCAUGGCAGGGACUGGACAAAUCCACAAUCUUCCAAGCAAAUGUGGGAUUGCUCGGGUUUAAAUUGUGGGUCCAGGACAUGUCUCAAGGGCCCAGAAGGGUCACUUGCACCAUCGUCUCUUUCACCCCUGCAACUCCCCCUUCUGAACUGCAAAGGUGGUUUAUAGUUUUAAAUGCUUUAUAGCACUGCCUCCAUAUCUACUGCUGUGAGGCUCAGAUUUUCCUACCAUGGGCUUAGUUGAGAGCUGUGUGGUCCAAUAUGUAGCCUUUAGCCACAAGUGUCUAUUAAAAGUUUAAUUAAAAUGAACAUUCUAUAAUAGAAGAAACCCAGUUUUUAAGUUUCACUGACCACCUUUAAAGUACUCAAUAGCCACACGUGGCCAGCACUGUGGCAUUCGAUAGCACACAAUAGGACAUUUCCAUCAUCACGGAAAGUUCUAUUGGCCAACACUGGCUUAUAGCAGGAGCUGACUAUGUCUUAGCUUGCAGGCCAAAUCCAGCUGCCACCUGUUUUUGUAAAUAAAGAUGUACUGGAAUGCA
rnacentral:lncRNA from 1 species